rnacentral:rRNA from 1 species
UACGUAGGGUGCAAGCGUUGUUCGGAAUUACUGGGCGUAAAGGCUCGUAGGCGGCCAACUAAGUCAGACGUGAAAUCCCUCAGCUUAACUGGGGGAACUGCGUCUGAUACUGGAUGGCUUGGAUCCGGGAGAGGGAGUGCGGAAUUCCAGGUGUAGCGGUGAAAUGCGUAGAUAUCUGGAGGAACACCGGUGGCGCAAGGGCGGGCGAUCCCUGGGACCCGGUACUUGGACGCUGAGGUAGCGAAAGCCCAGGG